GUAUCAGCCGCGCUCUCGCUCUACUGCAAAGCCCUGGAGUACUUUGUGCCUGCUCUGCACUAUGAAAGCGAUGCUCGCCGGAAGGAAGCCAUCUGGGCAAAGGUGGGGCAGUACAUCUCCCGAGCGGAGGAGCUGAAAGCGCUGGUCCUGUGCGACAGCAAGUGUCUUCUGCAGCAAGGCAACCCUGCCCGGGAGAUCCUCAAAGGUAUCGUUCUGGUGGGGCCGAGCCGGCCCGUGACAAGCCGGAGCUGGGCACCGGCCCCUGCUAGGYGGGAGCAAAGCCUGAGGCUCACGUGGAGAUCUCUCCCUGGCCGGCAAGACGUUGGGWCCAUCUCUCCUCUCCCACGCGCCCCAAGCUGUUACGUGACGCGGGGUUUCGCCUGAGAAGGGUAGAAAGGCACUGGGCAGGGGGGCCUUGCAGAGGGGGUGUCAGCGUAGCAGAAAGGGCCUCUCUCGUGGUUUCGGGCUGAAGGGUACCUCCCCUCUCCCCUGCCUGUCCUGAAAUGUCUCCUUGCAGAGAUGGCCAAGGACAAGCCUCGUCUCUGUGCUGCGCUGGAAAUGGCUUCUGCAGCCAUUGCUAAGGAGGAGGAGGGCAAGGACGACGGUGACACCCUGGAGCUCUACCAGCAGAGCCUGGGCGAGCUGCUGCUCAUUCUGGCUGGUGAGUUGUGGCGGGGGGGGUCAGGGUGGGUGGAGGCCAGYGCUGCGGCCGGGGCUGCUCCUGCGCCUGGCGCACACGGCUGACAGCGCGUCUUCCCUCUCCAGCAGAGCCUGCGGGGAGGAGACGGGAGCUGCUCCACGCGGAGGUAAGUGCCAGCAUGCUUUUUUGGCACGGGGGGUCAGGCAGGCUGGGCACGCUGGGGGUUGGCAUCUCU
rnacentral:lncRNA from 1 species